rnacentral:rRNA from 1 species
GACGAACGCUGGCGGCGUGCUUAACACAUGCAAGUCGAACGGAAAGGCCCUGCUUUUGUGGGGUGCUCGAGUGGCGAACGGGUGAGUAACACGUGAGUAACCUGCCCUUGACUUUGGGAUAACUUCAGGAAACUGGGGCUAAUACCGGAUAGGAGCUCCUGCUGCAUGGUGGGGGUUGGAAAGUUUCGGCGGUUGGGGCUGGACUCGCGGCUUAUCAGCUUGUUGGUGGGGUAGUGGCUUACCAAGGCUUUGACGGGUAGCCGGCCUGAGAGGGUGACCGGCCACAUUGGGACUGAGAUACGGCCCAGACUCCUACGGGAGGCAGCAGUGGGGAGUAUUGCACAAUGGGCGGAAGCCUGAUGCAGCAACGCCGCGUGCGGGAUGACGGCCUUCGGGUUGUAAACCGCUUUCGCCUGUGACGAAGCGUGAGUGACGGUAAUGGGUAAAGAAGCACCGGCUAACUACGUG